GACGAACGCUGGCGGCGUGCUUAACACAUGCAAGUCGAACGGGUGCAGCAAUGCAUCAGUGGCAGACGGGUGAGUAACACGUGGGAACCUUCCUAGGGGUACGGAACAACUCAGGGAAACUUGAGCUAAUACCGUAUGUGUCCGAGAGGAGAAAGAUUUAUCGCCCUUAGACGGGCCCGCGUCGGAUUAGCUAGUUGGUGGGGUAACGGCCUACCAAGGCGACGAUCCGUAGCUGAUCUUAGAGGAUGAUCAGCCACACUGGGACUGAGACACGGCCCAGACUCCUACGGGAGGCAGCAGUGGGGAAUCUUGGACAAUGGGCGCAAGCCUGAUCCAGCCAUGCCGCGUGAGUGAAGAAGGUCUUCGGAUUGUAAAGCUCUUUUGCCAGGGACGAUAAUGACGGUACCUGGAGAAUAAGCCCCGGCAAACUUCGUGCCAGCAGCCGCCGUAA
rnacentral:rRNA from 1 species